rfam:Gossypium hirsutum cultivar TM-1 chromosome 10, whole genome shotgun sequence
UGUUAAAAAUUUCAUCUAUUUAUAUUGUUAAAAAAUGACAUGGUUAUCAGAAUAACCAAAUAGUGACAUGUGGCGUGCCACGUGUACCUCAUGUUGAAGUACAAUGAUCAGUUCAUAACAGCAGAAAUGGAUGAAAUUUUUAACA